GGAAUAUUGCACAAUGGGCGCAAGCCUGAUGCAGCGACGCCGCGUGAGGGAUGACGGCCUUCGGGUUGUAAACCUCUUUCAGCAGGGACGAAGCGAAAGUGACGGUACCUGCAGAAGAAGCACCGGCUAACUACGUGCCAGCAGCCGCGGUAAUACGUAGGGUGCGAGCAUUGUCCGGAUUUAUUGGGCGUAAAGAGCUCGUAGGCGGUCCGCCACGUCGGAUGUGAAAACUCGGGGCUUAACCCCGGGCCUGCAUCCGAUACGGGCGGACUAGAGUGUUGCAGGGGAGACUGGAAUUCCUGGUGUAGCGGUGAAAUGCGCAGAUAUCAGGAGGAACACCGGUGGCGAAGGCGGGUCUCUGGGCAACUACUGACGCUGAGGAGCGAAAGCGUGGGGAGCAAA
rnacentral:rRNA from 1 species